rnacentral:rRNA from 1 species
GGGUUGGGGAACGGCCAGACAGUUCAACGGCUUCUAGAUGUCCAGAAGAAGGUGGACCCUGACAUUCUCUUUCUCUCGCAAACAAAGAUGGAUGAAAGACCUUUGGAGUGGUUUAGGUGAAAAAUGGGUUUGACUAAUAUGGUAGUGAAAACCAUGAUGGCCAGAGUGGAGGGCUUGCUCUUUUCCGGCGGAACGGAGUAA